rnacentral:tRNA from 1 species
UCCCUGGUGGCUCAGAGGUUAAAGCAUCUGCUUGCAAUGCAGGAGACCCAGGUUUGAUCCCUGGGUUGGGAA